AGCUGAGAAGGAUGGCUAUUGUCUAACUAGUUUAUAUUUAGAUUCUCUUCCAUAUUCUUUCAGCAAUGAUGGAGGUAGUGGAUUAGCAGGUAGAGUUUGUGGUCAUGAAGUUGUUGCAUUAGCAGAGAUGGAGGAUGUGAUACUGUCUGGUGGUGGUUCGAAUUGUUGGUUGUGCACUGAAAAGAGAUAUGAAGUGGCAGGUGCUGGUAUGUGAUUUUGAUA